CCACUCCUACUCUCUCACUUCCUCACAGGUCUGGGCCCUUGCUCGUUUGGAGAUCUCUGAUUCAAUUUCCAAAAGGAAUUUUGGAUGCCUGUCUUCUGAGAAGGCUUCCAUGGCAAUCAAGCUAUGUGUGUGAGCACAGCUCAGGAAGUAGGGCAAAGCAACCAUGAGGACAAAUGGAAGACUGGUCAGGGUGGUUCUGCUGUUUAGACAAAGGCAGUCUCUAAAUUACAAGGACAAGUGAGUUCCUCCCUUCUCCUGCCACACCACAUCCUCAUCUGUGAGGACUCUAGGCUCCAGGCGGCCCCACUACGCAUUGCAGUGGGUUCAACGGCAACAACUCCCUGAGCCUGGUCUAGCUUAGAGCCGCUGGUGUGAAGAGGAUGCACUAAGGGACAAAAGCAACGACUGGACAAAAGUGAAGGAGAGAUAAGCCAGGGGAUAAAACACAGCCUUAGAGAAGGCUUGGGUUCCACUAACUACUCACUGAAGAAGCAUCUUAAAGCCCAGGAACCCAAGGAAACUCUGUACAGGCAUAUGGGUUGAUGCCAGGAGUCUCCCACAAGCCAAUGGUAUCUCACUGAAUUUGAAGACCGGUAUAUCUCAGCAUGGAUUGAUGCCCUGAGGUGCUGAUGAAAGGCCUCAGGGGAAAAACAGCUUCAGCCUGUCCCCACUGGACUGACAGAAAGGAGCAAGGGGAGGGCUUCCUCAUAUAUACCCAU